AGCAUUUUAGUUUGCUUGCAAACUGAAGAUGGCGACCGGCGCACGGGUGAGUAACACGUAUCCAACCUGCCGAUAACUCCGGAAUAGCCUUUCGAAAGAAAGAUUAAUACCGGAUAGCAUACGAAUAUCGCAUGAUAUUUUUAUUAAAGAAUUUCGGUUAUCGAUGGGGAUGCGUUCCAUUAGUUUGUUGGCGGGGUAACGGCCCACCAAGACUACGAUGGAUAGGGGUUCUGAGAGGAAGGUCCCCCACAUUGGAACUGAGACACGGUCCAAACUCCUACGGGAGGCAGCAGUGAGGAAUAUUGGUCAAUGGGCGAGAGCCUGAACCAGCCAAGUAGCGUGAAGGAUGAAGGCUCUAUGGGUCGUAAACUUCUUUUAUAUGGGAAUAAAGUUUUCCACGUGUGGAAUUUUGUAUGUACCAUAUGAAUAAGGAUCGGCUAACUCCGUGCCAGCAGCCGCGGUAAUACGGAGGAUCCGAGCGUUAUCCGGAUUUAUUGGGUUUAAAGGGAGCGUAGGUGGAUUGUUAAGUCAGUUGUGAAAGUUUGCGGCUCAACCGUAAGAUUGCAGUUGAAACUGGCAGUCUUGAGUACAGUAGAGGUGGGCGGAAUUCGUGGUGUAGCGGUGAAAUGCUUAGAUAUCACGAAGAACUCCGAUUGCGA
rnacentral:rRNA from 1 species